UGCGGGGUGGAUCAGUGGCGAACGGGUGAGUAACACGUGAGCAACCUGCCCCUGACUCUGGGAUAAGCGCUGGAAACGGCGUCUAAUACUGGAUACGAGACGUGAUCGCAUGGUCAACGUUUGGAAAGAUUUUUCGGUUGGGGAUGGGCUCGCGGCCUAUCAGCUUGUUGGUGAGGUAAUGGCUCACCAAGGCGUCGACGGGUAGCCGGCCUGAGAGGGUGACCGGCCACACUGGGACUGAGACACGGCCCAGACUCCUACGGGAGGCAGCAGUGGGGAAUAUUGCACAAUGGGCGCAAGCCUGAUGCAGCAACGCCGCGUGAGGGAUGACGGCCUUCGGGUUGUAAACCUCUUUUAGCAGGGAAGAAGCGAGAGUGACGGUACCUGCAGAAAAAGCACCGGCUAACUACGUGCCAGCAGCCGCGGUAAUACGUAGGGUGCAAGCGUUAUCCGGAAUUAUUGGGCGUAAAGAGCUCGUAGGCGGUUUGUCGCGUCUGCUGUGAAAUCUGGGGGCUCAACCCCCAGCCUGCAGUGGGUACGGGCAGACUAGAGUGCGGUAGGGGAGAUUGGAAUUCCUGGUGUAGCGGUGGAAUGCGCAGAUAUCAGGAGGAACACCGAUGGCGAAGGCAGAUCUCUGGGCCGUAACUGACGCUGAGGAGCGAAAGGGUGGGGAGCAAACAGGCUUAGAUAC
rnacentral:rRNA from 1 species